GAGUUUGAUCGUGGCUCAGGACGAACGCUGGCGGUAUGCCUAAUACAUGCAAGUCGAGCGCAGGAAGCAGACUGAAGCCUUCGGGUGGAUGUCUGUGGAAUGAGCGGCGGAUGGGUGAGUAUCACGUGGGUAACCUGCCUGUAAGCUUGGGAUAACUCCGGGAAACCGGUGCUAAUACCAGAUAAGAUUUCCGUUCGCAUGAACGGAAAAUGAAAGGCGGCUUUUGCUGUCACUUACAGAUGGACCCGCGUCGCAUUAGCUAGUUGGUGGGGUAAAGGCUCACCAAAGCAACGAUGCGUAGCCGACCUGAGAGGGUGAUCGGCCACACUGGGACUGAGACACGGCCCAGACUCCUACGGGAGGCAGCAGUAGGGAAUCUUCGCAAUGGACGAAAGUCUGACGGAGCAAUACCGCGUGAGUGAUGAAGGUCUUCGGAUCGUAAAACUCUGUUGUUAAGGAAGAACAAGUGCUAAUCUAAUACAUUAGUGCCCUGACGGUACCUAACCAGAAAG
rnacentral:rRNA from 1 species